rnacentral:rRNA from 1 species
AGAGUUUGAUCCUGGCUCAGGAUGAAUUCUAGCUACAGGCUUAACACAUGCAAGUCGAGGGGCAGCAGGGAGAUAGCUUGCUAUCUUUGCUGGCGACCGGCGCACGGGUGAGUAACGCGUAUCCAACCUACCCCGUACUCAGGGAUAGCCCGUUGAAAGACGGAUUAAUACCUGAUGUUCUCCUUUUUUGGCAUCAUUAUUGGAGCAAAGAUUGAUCGGUACGGGCUGGGGAUGCGUCUGAUUAGCUUGCCGGCAGGGUAACGGCCUACCGGGGCAACGAUCAGUAGGGGUUCUGAGAGGAAGGUCCCCCACAUUGGAACUGAGACACGGUCCAAACUCCUACGGGAGGCAGCAGUGAGGAAUAUUGGUCAAUGGAGGCAACUCUGAACCAGCCAAGUAGCGUGCAGGAUGACGGCCCUAUGGGUUGUAAACUGCUUUUAUGCGGGGAUAAAGGAGCCUACGUGUAGGCUUUUGCAGGUACCGCAUGAAUAAGGACCGGCUAAUUCCGUGCCAGCAGCCGCGGUAAUACGGAAGGUCCGGGCGUUAUCCGGAUUUAUUGGGUUUAAAGGGAGCGUAGGCGGUCUGUUAAGCGUGUUGUGAAAUGUAGGUGCUCAACAUCUGCACUGCAGCGCGAACUGGCGGACUUGAGUUGGCUGAAAGUAUGCGGAAUUCGUGGUGUAGCGGUGAAAUGCUUAGAUAUCACGAAGAACUCCGAUUGCGAAGGCAGCAUGCUGUAUCCUUACUGACGCUGAAGCUCGAAGGUGCGGGUAUCGAACAGGAUUAGAUACCCUGGUAGUCCGCACGGUAAACUAUGGAUGCCCCCCUGUUGGCCAAAUAGUGUUCAGCGGCCAAGCGAAAGCGUUAAGCAUCCCACCUGGGGAGUACGCCGGCAACGGUGAAACCUCAAAGGAAUUGACGGGGGCCCGCACAAGCGGAGGAACAUGUGGUUUAAUUCGAUGAUACGCGAGGAACCUUACCCGGGCUUGAACUGCACAGGACUGAUACAGAGAUGUUGAUUCCCUUCGGGGCCUGUGCGGAGGUGCUGCAUGGUUGUCGUCAGCUCGUGCCGUGAGGUGUCGGCUUAAGUGCCAUAACGAGCGCAACCCCUUUCGUCAGUUGCCAUCAGGUUCUGCUGGGCACUCUGGCGACACUGCCACCGUAAGGUGCGAGGAAGGUGGGGAUGACGUCAAAUCAGCACGGCCCUUACGUCCGGGGCUACACACGUGUUACAAUGGCAGGUACAGAGGGCCGGCGCCUGGCAACAUGCGUCCAAUCCUUAAAGCCUGCCUCAGUUCGGAUUGGGGUCUGCAACCCGACCCCAUGAAGCUGGAUUCGCUAGUAAUCGCGCAUCAGCCAUGGCGCGGUGAAUACGUUCCCGGGCCUUGUACUCACCGCCCGUCA